UGUCUGGACACGCAGGCGCUCUCCUUCC
rnacentral:piRNA from 1 species